UCCUGGCUCAGGACGAACGCUGGCGGCGUGCCUAAUACAUGCAAGUCGAGCGGACAGAUGGGAGCUUGCUCCCUGAUGUUAGCGGCGGACGGGUGAGUAACACGUGGGUAACCUGCCUGUAAGACUGGGAUAACUCCGGGAAACCGGGGCUAAUACCGGAUGGUUGUUUGAACCGCAUGGUUCAGACAUAAAAGGUGGCUUCGGCUACCACUUACAGAUGGACCCGCGGCGCAUUAGCUAGUUGGUGAGGUAACGGCUCACCAAGGCAACGAUGCGUAGCCGACCUGAGAGGGUGAUCGGCCACACUGGGACUGAGACACGGCCCAGACUCCUACGGGAGGCAGCAGUAGGGAAUCUUCCGCAAUGGACGAAAGUCUGACGGAGCAACGCCGCGUGAGUGAUGAAGGUUUUCGGAUCGUAAAGCUCUGUUGUUAGGGAAGAACAAGUGCCGUUCAAAUAGGGCGGCACCUUGACGGUACCUAACCAGAAAGCCACGGCUAACUACGUGCCAGCAGCCGCGGUAAUACGUAGGUGGCAAGCGUUGUCCGGAAUUAUUGGGCGUAAAGGGCUCGCAGGCGGUUUCUUAAGUCUGAUGUGAAAGCCCCCGGCUCAACCGGGGAGGGUCAUUGGAAACUGGGGAACUUGAGUGCAGAAGAGGAGAGUGGAAUUCCACGUGUAGCGGUGAAAUGCGUAGAGAUGUGGAGGAACCAGUGGCGAAGGCGACUCUCUGGUCUGUAACUGACGCUGAGGAGCGAAAGCGUGGGGAGCGAACAGGAUUAGAUACCCUGGUAGUCCACGCCGUAAACGAUGAGUGCUAAGUGUUAGGGGGUUUCCCCCCCUUAGUGCUGCAGCUAACGCAUUAA
rnacentral:rRNA from 1 species